rnacentral:rRNA from 1 species
UACCAGCUCUCCGAGUGGUGUGGAUGUUUAUUGGGCCUAAAGCAUCCGUAGCUGGCUGGACAAGUCCCCUGUUAAAUCCACCGAUUUAAUCGUUGGUGUGCGGGGGAUACUGUUCGGCUAGGGGACGGGAGAGGCCGACGGUAUUUCCGGGGUAGGGGUGUAAUCCUAUAAUCCCGGGAAGACCACCAGUGGCGAAGGCUGUCGGCUAGAACGCGCCCGACGGUGAGGGAUGAAAGCUGGGGGAGCGAACCGGAUUAGAUACCCGGGUAGUCCCAGCUGUAAACGAUGCAGGCUAGGUGUUUGGGCGGCCACGUGCCGCUCUAGUGCCGCAAGGAAGCUGUUAAGCCUGCCGCCUGGGGAGUACGGCCGCAAGGCUGAAACUUAAGGAAUUGGCGUGGGAGCACCACAAGGGGUGAAGCUUGCGGUUU